UGCAGGAGUGUUGAAACGUCUAAUUUAGAGUACAUGUUAAGAGGAGUCUAGCAAAAUUAGAUUUAUAAUUUUUGGGCGGUUCUAUAAAUAUAUAUUGAAUUUACAAGUUUACAACAUUUACAACAUUUAGGGACCAAUGACACAACUAGAUAAGUUUGGAGAUCUAAAUAGGUGGUUUGCAUGUUCAGGGACCGAAAUAACAUAAUUGAACAAGUUUAAGUACCUAAAUGGUUGAUUUGCAAAUUUAUGGACGGAGAUGACACCAAUGAACAAUUUUGAGAACCUAAACGAUCGAUUUGCGAGUUUAAGGACCGGGAUAAUAUAAUCAAACAAGUUUGAGGGCCGUUUAUAGACUUUACUCUAAAAGUAAUAUUCACAAAAAAAAACUAAAAAGAAAAAGAUUUUCUCCUGGUUUUCUCAGGUGUUAAUAUUAUAUUAUAUUUACCCUGGUGAGUAAUAAUUUAUUAAACUACACACAAUGCCUUCAUCGACAAAUACUCGACAACAAUAUUAUCACUACCUGGUACGACGUACGAGUAGCUAAGGUUAGACAUAGGAAUUUCUAUCCAGAC
rnacentral:lncRNA from 1 species